UACGUAGGGUGCAAGCGUUUGUCCGGAAUUAUUGGGCGUAAAGAGCUCGUAGGCGGUCUGUUGCGUCGGCUGUGAAAACCCGGGGCUCAACCCCGGGCCUGCAGCCGAUACGGGCAGACUAGAGUUCGGCAGGGGAGACUGGAAUUCCUGGUGUAGCGGUGAAAUGCGCAGAUAUCAGGAGGAACACCGGUGGCGAAGGCGGGUCUCUGGGCAGUAACUGACGCUGAGGAGCGAAAGCGUGGGGAGCGAACAGG
rnacentral:rRNA from 1 species